rnacentral:rRNA from 1 species
GUCUACGGCCAUUCCACCCUGAACAUGCCUAAUCUCGUCUAUCUCAGAAGCUAAGCAAAGUUGGGCCUGAUUAAUACUGGACAGGAGACC